GGCGGUCCAAGUGCAGGGGUGUUUACAACUAAUUGAUCACAACCAGUUACAGAUUCCUUUAUUCCUUCUCCACUCCCACGCUUCACUUGACUAGCUGAAA
rnacentral:Y_RNA from 1 species